rnacentral:misc_RNA from 1 species
GACGAACGCUGGCGGCGUGCUUAACACAUGCAAGUCGAACGGAGCACCCUUGAAAGAGAUUUCGGUCAAUGGAUAGGAAUGCUUAGUGGCGGACGGGUGAGUAACGCGUGAGGAACCUGCCUUUCAGAGGGGGACAACAGCUGGAAACGGCUGCUAAUACCGCAUAACACAUAGGUGUCGCAUGGCAUUUAUGUCAAAGAUUUAUCGCUGAGAGAUGGCCUCGCGUCUGAUUAGCUAGUUGGUAGGGUAACGGCCUACCAAGGCGACGAUCAGUAGCCGGACUGAGAGGUUGGCCGGCCACAUUGGGACUGAGAUACGGCCCAGACUCCUACGGGAGGCAGCAGUGGGGAAUAUUGGGCAAUGGGCGCAAGCCUGACCCAGCAACGCCGCGUGAAGGAAGAAGGCUUUCGGGUUGUAAACUUCUUUUAAGAGGGAAGAGUAGAAGACGGUACCUCUUGAAUAAGCCACGGCUAACUACGUGCCAGCAGCCGCGGUAAUACGUAGGUGGCAAGCGUUGUCCGGAUUUACUGGGUGUAAAGGGCGUGUAGCCGGGCCGGCAAGUCAGAUGUGAAAUCCCAAGGCUCAACCUUGGAACUGCAUUUGAAACUGUUGGUCUUGAGUAUCGGAGAGGCAGGCGGAAUUCCUAGUGUAGCGGUGAAAUGCGUAGAUAUUAGGAGGAACACCAGUGGCGAAGGCGGCCUGCUGGACGACAACUGACGGUGAGGCGCGAAAGCGUGGGGAGCAAACAGGAUUAGAUACCCUGGUAGUCCACGCUGUAAACGAUGGAUACUAGGUGUGCGGGGACUGACCCCCUGCGUGCCGCAGCUAACGCAAUAAGUAUCCCACCUGGGGAGUACGAUCGCAAGGUUGAAACUCAAAGGAAUUGACGGGGGCCCGCACAAGCGGUGGAUUAUGUGGUUUAAUUCGAUGCAACGCGAAGAACCUUACCAGGGCUUGACAUCCUACUAACGAAGUAGAGAUACAUUAGGUACCCUUCGGGGGAAGUAGAGACAGGUGGUGCAUGGUUGUCGUCAGCUCGUGUCGUGAGAUGUUGGGUUAAGUCCCGCAACGAGCGCAACCCUUAUUGUUAGUUGCUACGCAAGAGCACUCUAGCGAGACUGCCGUUGACAAAACGGAGGAAGGUGGGGACGACGUCAAAUCAUCAUGCCCCUUAUGUCCUGGGCUACACACGUAAUACAAUGGCGGCCAACAGAGGGAUGCAAAGCCGUGAGGUGGAGCGAACCCCUAAAAGCCGUCCCAGUUCAGAUCGCAGGCUGCAACCCGCCUGCGUGAAGUCGGAAUCGCUAGUAAUCGCGGAUCAGCAUGCCGCGGUGAAUACGUUCCCGGGCCUUGUACACACCGCCCGUCACACCAUGAGAGUCGGGAACACCCGAAGUCCGUAGCCUAACCGCAAGGAGGGCGCGGCCGAAGGUGGGUUCGAUAAUUGGGGUGAAGUCGUAACAAGGUAGCCGUUCGAGAACGAGCGGCUGGAUCACCUCCUUUCUAAGGAGACAUCAGGUAGACUAAGGUUUGCUUGUAACGUCCUAGGUCAGCUGGUAAGCGGAAGUUUGUUACAUUGUUUAAUUUAGAGGGCACUGGCCUUCUGAAGAGAUAUGAGGGGAUAUAGCUCAGCUGGGAGAGCGCCUGCCUUGCAAGCAGGAGGUCGCCGGUUCGAUCCCGACUAUCUCCACCACGUCGAAGCAAACUGCAUAUCCCUCGCUUCCGGGCAAGCCCGAAAGCUCACUCAUUCCGUUGCUUCUCCUUUCCAAAUCGAACCCGCUGCGCUGGGCUUUGAUUUGGGUAAAACGGAGGACAAUAAAUAGGGGCCCGUAGCUCAGCUGGCUAGAGCGUACGACUGAUAAUCGUAAGGUCGGUGGUUCGAGCCCACUCGGGCCCACCAAUCUGAGUUAAGCUUAGAUAUAAGCUUUUAAGAGAUUAAAGGCUUAUAUCUGACCUUAAAGGUCAGAUAUCGCACCUUGAAAACUGAACAAAGGAAGAAGAAUUUGAGAGUAAAGCAAGGCAACAGAGAGGUCUUUCAGACGAGAGUUUGAAAGGUAGCAAGUUUAAUUGUGGAACAACACCGAAAGGUGAAGGGUAAAACAAUUACAAUAAGCCAAAGAAACUUCUUUGUGAGGCCUGCAUAAUUCAACUAGAGAACUGAUCUAUCAAAGAUUGUUCUACUGGUCAAGCUAUAAAGAGCGCAAGGGGAAUGCCUUGGCAUCAGGAGCCGAUGAAGGACGUGACAAGCUGCGAUAAGCUUCGGGGAGGAGCAAAUAUCCAUUGAUCCGGAGAUUUCCGAAUGGGGAAACCCGCGAGAGCAAUACUCUCGCAGCGUGCGUUGAAUCAAAUAGGCGUACGUGGGGAACCGCCUGAACUGAAACAUCUAAGUAGGGCGAGGAAGAGACAUCAACCGAGAUUCCGUAAGUAGUGGCGAGCGAACGCGGAAGAGGCCAAACCGAGGGAUUUAUUCCUCGGGGUUGCGGACCGGCAUAAGGGACAAUAGCUUAGGAGAACGGCAUGGGAAGGCCGGCCAUAGCGGGUGAGAGCCCCGUAUCCGAAAAGUGACGAUACCAGCUGAGUUCCAGAGUACCGCGGGACACGUGAAACCCCGUGGGAAACCGGGUGGACCACCAUCCAAGCCUAAAUACUACCUGAUGACCGAUAGAGGAGC